rnacentral:rRNA from 1 species
GACGAACGCUGGCGGCGUGCUUAACACAUGCAAGUCGAACGGAAAGGCCCUGCUUUUGUGGGGUGCUCGAGUGGCGAACGGGUGAGUAACACGUGAGUAACCUGCCCUUGACUUUGGGAUAACUUCAGGGAACUGGGGCUAAUACCGGAUAGGAGCUCCUGCUGCAUGGUGGGGGUUGGAAAGUUUCGGCGGUUGGGGAUGGACUCGCGGCUUAUCAGCUUGUUGGUGGGGUAGUGGCUUACCAAGGCUUUGACGGGUAGCCGGCCUGAGAGGGUGACCGGCCACCUUGGGACUGAGAUACGGCCCAGACUCCUACGGGAGGCAGCAGUGGGGAAUAUUGCACAAUGGGCGGAAGCCUGAUGCAGCAACGCCGCGUGCGGGAUGACGGCCUUCGGGUUGUAAACCGCUUUCGCCUGUGACGAAGCGUGAGUGACGGUAAUGGGUAAAGAAGCACCGGCUAACUACGUGCCAGCAGCCGCGGUGAUACGUAGGGUGCGAGCGUUGUCCGGAUUUAUUGGGCGUAAAGGGCUCGUAGGUGGUUGAUCGCGUCGGAAGUGUAAUCUUGGGGCUUAACCCUGAGCGUGCUUUCGAUACGGGUUGACUUGAGGAAGGUAGGGGAGAAUGGAAUUCCUGGUGGAGCGGUGGAAUGCGCAGAUAUCAGGAGGAACACCAGUGGCGAAGGCGGUUCUCUGGGCCUUUCCUGGCGCUGAGGAGCGAAAGCGUGGGGAGCGAACAGGCUUAGAUACCCUGGUAGUCCACGCUGUAAACGGUGGGUACUAGGUGUGGGGUCCAUUCCACGGGUUCCGUGCCGUAGCUAACGCUCUAAGUACCCCGCCUGGGGAGUACGGCCGCAAGGCUAAAACUCAAAGGAAUUGACGGGGCCCCGCACAAGCGGCGGAGCAUGCGGAUUAAUUCGAUGCAACGCGUAGAACCUUACCUGGGUUUGACAUGGAUCGGGAGCGCUCAGAGAUGGGUGUGCCUCUUUUGGGGUCGGUUCACAGGUGGUGCAUGGCUGUCGUCAGCUCGUGUCGUGAGAUGUUGGGUUAAGUCCCGCAACGAGCGCAACCCUUGUUCACUGUUGCCAGCACGUUAUGGUGGGGACUCAGUGGAGACCGCCGGGGUCAACUCGGAGGAAGGUGGGGAUGACGUCAAGUCAUCAUGCCCCUUAUGUCCAGGGCUUCACGCAUGCUACAAUGGCUGGUACAGAGAGUGGCGAGCCUGUGAGGGUGAGCGAAUCUCGGAAAGCCGGUCUCAGUUCGGAUUGGGGUCUGCAACUCGACCUCAUGAAGUCGGAGUCGCUAGUAAUCGCAGAUCAGCAACGCUGCGGUGAAUACGUUCCCGGG